rnacentral:rRNA from 1 species
UUAUAAAAAAAAAAAUGAAGGUAUAAACUUUUUGGUUAAGGGAGUAUAAAAAAAGAAACUUUUAAAUAUUUAUAAAGUGAUAAGUAAUGAAAAAAUUAAAAGUUUAAAGUAAUAAAUUUUAUUAAUACCUUUUGUAUUAGGGUAAUUUAAAUAAUAGAAGUAUUUUUUUUUCCCGAAUUAUAAUGAGUUAAUAUAAUUAAUUUAAAUGUGGAAAAAUUCAAUUAAAAAGAAUAUUAGAAUUGAAAAAAUAAACGUUUUUUAAGAUAUCUGGUUUAUAAUAAGUAAACUAAGUUUAAGUUAAUUAAAGCAGUAACAAAAUUAUUAUUGGUGUUGUUAUUUUUUAGCAAAAUAUUUAAUGGAUAAUCAUUAAGUAAUUUUAUAAUUUAUGUUUAAUUAGAAUUUUUUAGUAGGCUUUAAAACUGUUUUCUUUAUUUUAAAAAAGUUAUAUUAAAAUUUUAUUUGUAAAUAUAUUUAGUGAAAUUUAAAUGUUUAAUAAACUUAACUAAUAGGUGAUAAAAAAUAAUGAAUUAAUUAGUAGAUAAUUUUUUUAUAUAAAAAAAGUUAAUAUACAGAAUUUAUUUAUAAAUUUGGCAAAAUUUUACACAACUGUUUAACAAAAACAUUUCUUUAGGAACACUUAAAAAGUAAGGCCUGCCCACUGUUAAUAUAAAGGGCCGCAGUAUUAUGACUGUGCUAAGGUAGCAUAAUCAUUAGUCUCUUAAUUAGAGAAUGGAAUGAAUGGCUUAAUAUGUAGAAGCUUUAUUAAUAAAUUUAAUUAAAUUUAUAAUUAAAGUGAAAAUACUUUAAUAUUUUUAAAAGACGAUAAGACCCUUUAAACCUUUAUUUCUUUAUCUUAAAAUAAAGAGUUUUAAUUAUGAAGUUUAGCUGGGGCAGCUUAAGAAGAAAAAUAUAUUCUUAUGAAUUAAUAAAACAUUUUAAAAUAAAUCUUAUAUUAUGAAAUUAGGAAAAAGGUACUUAAGGGAUAACAGCGUUAUAAACUUAUAGAGUUCUUAUCGAUGAGUUAGUUUGCGACCUCGAUGUUGAAUUAAAAUUAUUAAAUAUAGCAGAUUGUAUUUUAGAUAGUCUGUUCGACUAAUAGAAUUUUACAUGAUUUGAGUUCAAACCGGUGUGAGCCAGGUUGGUUUCUAUCUUUAAAUAAUUUGAAGAAUUUUUAGUACGAAAGGAUUGAAAUUUUGAAUUUUUUUUAGAUAAUAAAUUUUAAG